GAUGAACGCUGGCGGCGUGCCUAACACAUGCAAGUCGAACGAAGCUUGACGGAUGAUUUCUUCGGAAUGAAACCAGAUAUGACUUAGUGGCUGACGGGUGAGUAACACGUGAGCAACCUGCCUUUCAGAGGGGGAUAACGGCUGGAAACGGUCGCUAAUACCGCAUGAUGUGUUCGGAUGGCAUCAUCUGACCAUCAAAGAUUUAUCGCUGAAAGAUGGGCUCGCGUCUGAUUAGAUAGGUGGUGGGGUAACGGCCUACCAAGUCUACGAUCAGUAGCCCGACUGAGAGGUUGAACGGCCACAGUGGGACAGAGGUACGGCGCAGACACCUACGGGAGGCAGAAGUGGGGAAUAUUGCACAAAGGGGGAAACACUGAGGCAGCAACGCUGCGUGAAGGAUGACGCUUUUCGGAUUGUAAACUUCUUUUCUGAGAGACGAAGACAGUGACGGUAGCUAAGGAAUAAGCAUCGGCUAACUACGUG
rnacentral:rRNA from 1 species